UCCGGUAUGGUGUAGUGGCUAACAUUUCGCGCUCUCAAAUUCUGAGGGAUUCACUGGAUACAGUUCCGCGGAGCCCGGGGUUCAAUUCCCCGUACCGGAG
rnacentral:tRNA from 1 species